rfam:Triticum aestivum genome assembly, contig: Triticum_aestivum_CS42_TGACv1_scaffold_130998_2BL
AUUACAUUCCCUUUGUCUGGAAAUACUUGUCAUAAAAAUGGAUAAAAAGGAUGUAUCUAGACGUACUUUAGUUCUAGAUACAUUUUUUUAUCCAUUUUGAUGACAAGUAUUUUCGAACGGAGAAAGUACACU